rnacentral:rRNA from 1 species
UACGGAGGGUGCGAGCGUUGUCCGGAAUCACUGGGCGUAAAGGGCGCGUAGGCGGCUGAGCAAGGUCGUGGUGAAAGCCCGGGGCUCAACCCCGGGUCGGCCAUGGCAACUACUCGGCUGGAGCACAGUAGAGGCAGGCGGAAUUCCGGGUGUAGCGGUGGAAUGCGUAGAGAUCCGGAAGAACACCGGUGGCGAAGGCGGCCUGCUGGGCUGUGGCUGACGCUGAGGCGCGACAGCGUGGGGAGCAAACAGG